rfam:Camelus ferus unplaced genomic scaffold scaffold371, whole genome shotgun sequence.
GAGGGUAUAGCUCAAGUGGUAGAGUGCAUGCUUUGCAUGCAUGAGGUCCUGGGUUCUAUCCCCAGUAUCUCCU